ensembl:lincRNA
CCCGCGCACGCGCUCCCAUGUUUGCCCCCAUAGGGUGUAGCCUUUUGAGGUUGUUCCUGGACUUAAGAAAACCCACCCUCACCUCCUCUCUGCUCAUCCCUUCUCUAGUGGUCUGCAUUCACUUUUGAUUUCUUUCUCUGGGCUGGCUCUCUUUUUAUAAACACCCUAAACUUUGGCUGUUUCCACGCCCCUCUGACCUUCCCCUAUUUCUUUUCCCAUUAGUAAUGUUUACAUGACUGUGUAAGACGUUUUCUCCGUGGUUACUGUUUAAGACUUUUCCUCCAACCUGAUAUCAAGUGGAUGCCACUGCUUUCUGCCCUCUCAUUUAACCCUCUUUGUGUAGCUUUUGCCUGUUAGUUUCAGAGCUGGGUGUUUCCACAUUCUUGUUCUCUUGUUCAAGAAAUUGAAAUAACAGUGCAUAGGUAUAGCAAGCUAACAACAAAACAAGGCCAUAGUACAAAUCAGAGAUAUACACAGCCGACAGCGGGCCACAUCAGUGAGCACACUCAAAGGCCCUUAUUAUUUGGAGGGUUCAUUCUGUGGUCUUCCAGAAAAGGAGACAUUCAGUUGCUAAAGGAUGUAGCGUCAGUGGUUCUCUGUUUUGAUUGACAGAGCAGAUUAUGUAAGCCAUUUGUCACUAUGCACGUCCUUUCCUAUAAUGUGUUUUAUUUUAAUCAUAUGCACACCCAACUAUGCGUAGUCAUAGGAUGGUUAAAUGGUGUGUUCUUCCUAAAAGUUCACUCAGAGCACAUCUUUCCUUAUUGCAUAUACACACAAGACUAGUUCAAACUGGAUUAGGAUUCCAUUCUUGUUUAGCUGGAAUAUGACUGAAUAGAAACUGUCGGUGGGUGUCUAACGGUCUUUACAGGAAGCAAAAACCUAUUCCACUGUUUAGUGUGGGGUGCAGAUACAAUUCAGUGCAAAUAGAUGUUCAAGGUUGCUAACAGGUUGCUAGUGCAUCGUUAGGAGAGGUUGCUUUGUCUUCUGGAUCUCCAUUGGUGAAUGCUCAGAAAAUUUCUCAUGCAUUGAGUCAAACAGAGCACUUCCUUUGCCUGUUUUGUCAAUCCCGGUGGCACUGUUGAAGGAAGGCAAUUUGGAAUUGGAGUUGUUGGGUUCUGAAGACAUAAACGGCAUACUUAUUGAGAAGAGGAAGAAUCAGGGAGAGGAUAGAUAUCCAUUAGGUUUGUUCUAUCCAAUCAAGAUUUAGGAGACAAUAUUCAACAAUAUAAAAGACUGCUCAUGUUGUAUGUAGAACUUAUGUUUUACAUUAAUUCUUUACCUCUAAGCAUCCAGCCUACACAGCUGCCCAGAAAAGCGAACUGCUUUCCCUGGUUCCAGCUGCUCAGAACCUUCCCAAGCAGACCAAGCCACCACCCUUUCCUCCUCAGAUGCCUCUAUGAGAAGGGUAUCCGAGCCACAAGCCCUGAGAGCCAGGUAUGCAGAGGACACCCUGCAUGAUGGAACUGAUGGCCUGAUGCUUUGUAACAUCCUGAUAGGUAUGUGAGACUGGUCACGUACAGGAGGCUGCUAAACACACCUAAUAUACACAGGUAGAAAACUUGUCUUUGCAACAGAUGGAGACCAUUACCGAAAGCCACAACCAGUACAAAUGCAGAGAAGAAACCAUAACGUGGCACUCAAUUGAUACAGCUACAACACAAACCCUGUACCCAAGGCUCAGGGAUCAUUGCAGAGAUAUUGUAAAAGCCAGAGGAACAGGGCAAUGGCAACAUAAAGCCUGGAGAGAGACAGCCUCUACGUGGAAGGAGAAUGGACCCACACAGCUGAAGAUAUGUCUGCUCAUGGGAAGAAAAACUGGUUUCCAUUCUUAAGACUGACAUCCGUGGCCUCACCUAGGCAGCAUUUCUUACAGACCUGCCAACACCUAGCCUGGAUUUGUGCGUAACACUCUUCACUGACUAAGGCUGAUGGCUUUGCAUCUGAAGCAGCAGGAACCAGUAAGAGAGAUCGGACUUGUGAACCAUGUCAGCCACCACUGUGCACCUUCAGAAGAUAACAGACAUGCUCUGGGAAACCUGUGAACAGGCUCUGUGGGACAGCAUUGGUGUCAGAUGGGCCUUGAGUGGAUGCCACGCUAAUGCAGAAGGCAGUUCAGUCAAGGACAGAGGCAGAGAUGCUGGGUAUGUCUCUCGGGUGUCAAGAACCCUGGAGGCAGAGCUCUUCCAAGGCUGACCCCAUUAUGCCUGCAUUCCCCCUAAACCUUCUUCAGUAAUCCUCUGACCUCCUUUCUCUCAAGUAGGCAAUAAUCCCUCUUCUUUGGCUUCUGUGAGGAUUAAGUAAAUCAAGAAGCCAUCAAUCUC